UGUGUGUGUGUGUGUGUGUGUGUGUGUGUGUGAGAUUUGUGUCACACGCUGCUGUUAUCACCAUCAGCAGCCAGUAGGGGGGAGAUUCAGCAGCCACUUCUACAGCUAAAUGAAAACAAUGUGGACAUACAUCAUAAUCCAACUACUGUGGCCGCAGGUGGAGCCUUUUAAAAACCGUCCCCGCCGCUGCAGCAGUGACAACAUCUGGAUGAGCAACGUAAAUCCUGCUGUAAUAAACCCUGCCGGCCAGUGGCUCGAUAGAUACAGCGAAUACAACUCCAUGAAAUCCACUCAGCACCUCUGGACCAUGUUACGAACCCGGAGAAAACAACAGUAGUUUCCCAGGAACAAAAGUACUGUACUCAGAAACAAUUGUUUCCAUGGAGAUGAGCCACUCACGGAGGAAGCGAGUUAACGCCAGUGGUCCCGCGGGGCACUAAAAGGUAAAUGGACUUCACACCCUUUCACUCGGCGAUGACAAGGGUCCACCAAGCGAGGUGUCACCGGACCAUCGGAGCUAAUUAACGCUCACACACUGGAGGCACAGCCUGCAGGAACGCGCCGGGGUGGAGUGUCUUGCCCC
ensembl:lncRNA